UACGUAGGGUGCGAGCGUUGUCCGGAAUUACUGGGCGUAAAGAGCUCGUAGGUGGUUUGUCGCGUUGUUCGUGAAAUCUCACGGCUUAACUGGGAGCGUGCGGGCGAUACGGGCAGACUAGAGUACUGCAGGGGAGACUGGAAUUCCUGGUGUAGCGGUGGAAUGCGCAGAUAUCAGGAGGAACACCAAUAGCGAAGGCAGCUCGCUGGGACGGUACUGACGCUAAGGUGCGAAAGCGUGGGGAGCGAACAGG
rnacentral:rRNA from 1 species